rnacentral:rRNA from 1 species
AUGUGUAAAUUUCACGAAACUGCGUGAGCUAAUUAUUAUUAUUACAUACUAUGUGGCAUAAUAGUAGCAUGAAUAGUAAUUAGGGGUGAUAGGCUUUUCAAACGUAAGAUAUCUUGAUUCUUAUGAUAUGUAAUAGUACAUUAACAAUUUAAGAGUUAUAAGGCUUUUAAAGAUAAUCAAGUUUAGUAAAAUUACGAGGUUGGUUUAAACACCUGCAUUUAAGUAAUCUAAUAUUGAUAAUGUAUAAUUAUUUCAACUAAUAAGAUUCAAUAAAUUUGAAUAGAUGAUAAUAAUGUUUUUAUUAGUACUAAUUAGUUAUUAGUAGUGAACUCGGCAUUUUGUUUUCAACUGUUUAUCAAAAACAUAGCCGUGUGUAUAUAUACACGGUAAUUUCUGCUCAAUGAGAUUUUAAAUAGCCGCAGUACCUUGACUGUGCAAAGGUAGCGUAAUCAUUUGUCUCUUAAUUGGAGUCACGUAUGAAAGAACAUAUGGGGACAAUCUUUACCAUUAAUAAUUCAGGAAAUUACUUAGUGGGUGCAAAAUCCCACACACAAUAAAAAGACGAGAAGACCCUAGAAAUUUGUAGAAUUGUUUUGUUGGGGCAACAUAGUAGCAGUUAAUCUACUAUAUGUAUAUGACAUCUUAUAGUGAAAUAAAAUUACUCUAGGGAUAACAGCAUAAUCUAUUAAUGUUUGUGACCUCGAUGUUGGAUUAGGGAGUUGUUGUUUAGA